GAUGAGCGCUGGCGGCGUGCUUAACACAUGCAAGUCGAACGGGAAUUACUUUAUUGAAACUUCGGUCGAUUUAAUUUAAUUCUAGUGGCGGACGGGUGAGUAACGCGUGGGUAACCUGCCUUGUACAGGGGGAUAACAGUCAGAAAUGACUGCUAAUACCGCAUAAGCGCACAGGACCGCAUGGUCCGGUGUGAAAAACUCCGGUGGUAUAAGAUGGACCCGCGUUGGAUUAGCUUGUUGGUGUGGUAACGGCCCACCAAGGCGACGAUCCAUAGCCGGCCUGAGAGGGUGAACGGCCACAUUGGGACUGAGACACGGCCCAGACUCCUACGGGAGGCAGCAGUGGGGAAUAUUGCACAAUGGGGGAAACCCUGAUGCAGCGACGCCGCGUGAAGGAAGAAGUAUCUCGGUAUGUAAACUUCUAUCAGCAGGGAAGAAAAUGACGGUACCUGACUAAGAAGCC
rnacentral:rRNA from 1 species